GACGAACGCUGGCGGCGUGCUUAACACAUGCAAGUCGAACGAUGAAGAAGAGAAACGCGAACUUCGGUUCAAAUUUCACUUCGGAUUAGUGGCAGACGGGUGAGUAACGCGUGAGCAACCUACCUCUUACAAAGGGAUAGCCUCGGGAAACCGUGAUUAAUACCAUAUGACACAUUCAUAAGGCAUCUUAAGAAUGUUAAAGCUACGGCGGUAAGAGAUGGGCUCGCGUCCCAUUGGCUAGUUGGUGAGGUAACGGCCCACCAAGGCGACGAUGGGUAACCGGCCUGAGAGGGUGAACGGUCACAUUGGAACUGAGACACGGUCCAAACUCCUACGGGAGGCAGCAGUGGGGAAUAUUGCACAAUGGAGGGAACUCUGAUGCAGCGACGCCGCGUGAGCGAUGAAGGAAUUCGUUUCGUAAAGCUCUGUUCUAUGGGAAGAAAAGGACUGUACCAUAGGAGAAAGCCCCGGCUAAAUACGUG
rnacentral:rRNA from 1 species